AAGGAGUUUAUAAAUAGCAUCUGGAAGAAGACACUCAAGAAGUUCACCCAUGACUUCAAAGGAUUUGCCAAAGUUGCAAAAAUCAACAAGGCUGUGGUUGAGACGGCAGACAACUUAGACCUGCCUGUGGAUGAGGAGACAUUGAGGAGCUCCUAGAGGUGGUUCCUGAGGAAUUGACUAGUGAGGCGUUGUUGGAACUGGAAUAGGAAUGCAUAGCUAAAGAAGAGAAAAGAGAAAAGGAAACUGCAGGGGAAGAUAAAGAAGAAGAACCCCCAAGAACAUUCACAGUGAAGGGUUUAGCAGAAGCUUUUGCACACCUCAACAAGCUUCUUGAAAAGUUCGAAAAUGUGGACCUCAACACCAAAAGGUUUUCAUUAACAGAGAGGACUGUUCAUGGUGUGUUUCUGCUUACAAGUAAAUCUAUGAUGAAAAAAAAAACAAGCCAAGCAAAACAUCAUGGACAUAUCCCUGAAAAGAGUGACACCUCCUCACAGAGAGCGUCAGGCAGGUCCUUCAGGAGAUAUUCCAGAAGAAGGCGUUGUUAUCACAGGAGAUGACAGCUCCAUGCAUGUUUUUGUCCCUGAAGACCUUCCAGUGGGACAAGGUGCAGAGGCCUUCACGUCCACUCACCACUCGCUGACUCACCCAGAGCAACUUUCCAUCCUGCAAGCUCCAUUCGUGCAAUAAUGCUGAGAAGUGGAAUGGCUGCCAUCGCACCUCGAGACAAGUGCUGCUCAGCGCUUGAUUAGAUGGAGCCGGGGCUGCUGCUCACCUCCAUCUCAGGCUCUCAUCUACCGAAGGGCCGUAUGAAGGUAACAGUGAGAAGGUGGCUGUCUAUAAGCCGGGAAGCAGGAUCUCAAGAGACAUCAGAUCUGCCAGUGCCUUGAUCUUGGACUUCCCAGCCUCCAGAACUGUGAGAAAUGAUGUUUGUUGUUUAAGGCAUCAGUCUAUGGUAUUUUUGUUAUAGCAGCUUGAACUGACUAAGACAAUAAUGUUUUAAGAACUGACUGGAUUUUACCAAACCCUGGAGGUCAAGCAUGGCUUCACAGAAGAAGUGCUGAAUGAAUGGAGAUAUGAAUAAUAGAAAUUAACAAGUGAAGAUAUGAGGGUAGAGAAAAGGAUAGUCCAGGAGGUGAAAAUGGUGAGAACAAAGGCCUGUGGUGGAAAGGAGGGCACGUGGCUGGGUUCCUAGGGUGACAGAGUGCCUGGUGAGAGGAACGGCCCGAGAGGAAGUGCAGAGAGACCACGCAGGGUCAGGUAGGUUAGGGAUUUCUGUCUCACCCCAGAGCGGUAGAAAUCUUUCGAUUGUUUGAAACAAGGGUAUCAUGAUCAGAUUUGCAGUUUGAAAAGGUCAUACUGGCUGCAGUUUGGAGAACAGGUUGCAAGCGUGCCAGAAGCAAUGGGGGAAACAAUGUAGAGAAAAGAAAAGAAAAAGGCAGAGGACUGGGUCUGGAGGAGUGCUGACAUUUCAUGGCUGGGGGCAGAAGAAUGAGCCUGUAAACAACUUUUCCCAAGAAGUUGCUCUCACCUUCCCGAGGAAGUGAGAGAAAGAUCAGUAGCUGAAGAAGGUCAUGGGUUUCAGCUUUUCCUUUUUAGUCAGAGAGACAUAAGGAGGUUUAAAAGUUGACGGGAAG
rnacentral:lncRNA from 1 species